rnacentral:rRNA from 1 species
UGCGCAGGCGGCUUAUUAGGUCAGUGGUGAAAUCUCUCGGCUCAACCGAGAGACUGCCAUUGAAACUGAUAAGCUUGAGUGUAGUUGUAGUAGGCGGAAUAUAGCAUGUAGCGGUGAAAUGCUUAGAUAUGCUAUAGAACACCGAUCGCGAAGGCAGCUUACUAAACUAUUACUGACGCUCAUGCACGAAAGCGUGGGGAGCAAACAGGAUUAGAUACCCUGGUAGUCC